rnacentral:rRNA from 1 species
GGGGCUCUUCGGAGUCCAGUGGCGAACGGGUGCGUAACACGUGAGCGACCUGCCCUCGUGCGGGGGAUAACCAGGGGAAACCCUGGCUAAUACCGCAUGAAGUCCGAGGUUUACGAACCUCGGAUGAAAGCCGCUUUCGGGCGGUGUGCGAGGAGGGGCUCGCGGCGUAUCAGCUAGUUGGUGAGGUAACGGCUCACCAAGGCGAUGACGCGUAGGGGGUCUGAGAGGAUGGCCCCCCACAUUGGGACUGAGAUACGGCCCAGACUCCUACGGGAGGCAGCAGUGGGGAAUCUUGCGCAAUGGCCGAAAGGCUGACGCAGCGACGCCGCGUGCGGGAGGACGCUUUUCGGAGUGUAAACCGCUGUCAGGAGGGAAGAAGGUCCAGGGGAGGAAAUGCUCUUGGGAUGACGGUACCUCCAGAGGAAGCACCGGCUAACUCCGUGCCAGCAGCCGCGGUAAUACGGAGGGUGCGAGCGUUGUUCGGAAUUAUUGGGCGUAAAGCGCACGUAGGCGGCUUUGUAAGUCUCACUGUGAAAGCCCGGGGCUCAACCCCGGGAGGCCAGGGGAUACUGCGAAGCUGGAGACAGGUAGAGGCUGGUGGAAUUCCGGGUGUAGCGGUGGAAUGCGUAGAGAUCCGGAGGAACAUCUGAGGCGAAGGCGGCCAGCUGGACCUGAUCUGACGCUGAGGUGCGAAAGCGUGGGGA